AGCCUUCCUUCCUUCCUUCCUUCCUUCCUUCCUUCCUUCCUUCCUUCUUUAUGAAAACACUUGUUCUGACAACUAGUCCUUUAGCUUAGAAAAGCUUCAAUCUAACCUUCCACUAUCAACAAACUAUAUCACUACAAGUUCCCAGAUAAGAUGUUUGUAGAAAGAGGUUUCAAAGCAACUAUUUCCAGGUAAUUAAUGGCAGUUGACUUUGACUGGAUCAGCCGUCUGCACUCAGCUAACCUUGUUGCUAUGUGACACCAAUAGACUAAAUGAUCAGCUCCCACUGAGGACUCCAUGGGGAAAUCUUCUUUCAUUUUAUUCCCACUGCAAAUAUCUUGGUCUUGGUCAGAGAGUGACUGAUUCAAAGAUACCCACUGAAUUUCUUUGUGAAAGUGGAGCUGAACUUGGAUCUUCCCAAUUCUUAAACCCAAUGCCAUAAAACAUUACACCAUCCAGGCUCUAAGACAUUGAAAAUGGCAUCACCAUAUUGAAUGCUACAGAAUCAUAACGGAUAAGUAUCAAUCCAACUACAAUGGAUCCAAGAAUCUCACACUAAGCAUUUGUACUUCUCUAGGUCUCCAUCACCUCUGUAAAAUUAUUUUUUCUAUAUCAGAAACACUGUCCAUGGGCUAGAAGGAGAAAAUUUUAUACUGAGGAAUAUUAACUAAGCAUCUAUCAUGAUAAUAGCAGGACUAUUAAAACAGAGUAAAAUACAAAUUAAUUGGAAAUUUUAUCUGUCUUCUUUUAUAUAAAGACAAAGCCUAUUUUUGUAACAGGUGGAUAUUUGUCCUGAACUUUAGCUUAACCACCAGAAAUAAUGGCGAUAAAGCAACAAUAGAAAAUCCAUUAGCUUGUAGUUGUAGAGCACUGUUUCUUAAUUUCAGCAACUUGAAGAUAUACUAUAUGGAUAUCAAU